rnacentral:rRNA from 1 species
AACGAACGCUGGCGGCAGGCUUAACACAUGCAAGUCGAACGCACCUUUCGGGGUUAGUGGCAGACGGGUGAGUAACGCGUGGGAAUCUACCCUUCUCUACGGGAUAGCUCCGGGAAACUGGAAUUAAUACCGUAUACGUCCUGAGGGCGAAAGAUUUAUCGGGGAAGGAUGAGCCCGCGUUGGAUUAGCUAGUUGGUGGGGUAAAGGCCUACCAAGGCGACGAUCCAUAGCUGGUCUAAGAGGAUGAUCAGCAACAUUGGGACUGAGACACGGCCCAAAAUCCUACGGGAGGCAGCAGUGGGGAAUAUUGGACAAUGGGCGCAAGCCUGAUCCAGCCAUGCCGCGUGAGUGAUGAAGGCCCUAGGGUUGUAAAGCUCUUUCAGUGGGGACGAUAAUGACGGUACCCACAGAAGAAGCCACGGCUAACUUCGUG